UCCCUGGAGGACUAGUGGUUAGCCCAUGGCGCUCUCACUGCCGUGGCCUGGGUUCGAUUCCCAGCUAGAGAA